rnacentral:rRNA from 1 species
UGCAAGUCGAGCGAAUGGAUUAGAGAGCUUGCUCUUAUGAAGUUAGCGGCGGACGGGUGAGUAACACGUGGGUAACCUGCCCAUAAGACUGGGAUAACUCCGGGAAACCGGGGCUAAUACCGGAUAAUAUUUUGAACUGCAUGGUUCGAAAUUGAAAGGCGGCUUCGGCUGUCACUUAUGGAUGGACCCGCGUCGCAUUAGCUAGUUGGUGAGGUAACGGCUCACCAAGGCAACGAUGCGUAGCCGACCUGAGAGGGUGAUCGGCCACACUGGGACUGAGACACGGCCCAGACUCCUACGGGAGGCAGCAGUAGGGAAUCUUCCGCAAUGGACGAAAGUCUGACGGAGCAACGCCGCGUGAGUGAUGAAGGCUUUCGGGUCGUAAAACUCUGUUGUUAGGGAAGAACAAGUGCUAGUUGAAUAAGCUGGCACCUUGACGGUACCUAACCAGAAAGCCACGGCUAACUACGUGCCAGCAGCCGCGGUAAUACGUAGGUGGCAAGCGUUAUCCGGAAUUAUUGGGCGUAAAGCGCGCGCAGGUGGUUUCUUAAGUCUGAUGUGAAAGCCCACGGCUCAACCGUGGAGGGUCAUUGGAAACUGGGAGACUUGAGUGCAGAAGAGGAAAGUGGAAUUCCAUGUGUAGCGGUGAAAUGCGUAGAGAUAUGGAGGAACACCAGUGGCGAAGGCGACUUUCUGGUCUGUAACUGACACUGAGGCGCGAAAGCGUGGGG